rnacentral:tRNA from 1 species
GCCUGGGUGGCUCAGUCGGUUAAGCGUCCGACUUUGGCUCAGGUCAUGAUCUCACGGUCCGUGGGUUCGAGCCCCGCAUCGGGCU